UACGUAGGGGGCAAGCGUUGUUCGGAAUUACUGGGCGUAAAGGGCGCGUAGGCGGCACGGCAAGUCAGGAGUGAAAGGUCUGGGCUCAACCGAGGAACUGCUUUUGAGACUGCCGAGCUAGAGUGCAGAAGGGGCAACUGGAAUUCCCAGUGUAGCGGUGAAAUGCGUAGAUAUUGGGAAGAACACCUGAGGCGAAGGCGGGUUGCUGGGCUGACACUGACGCUGAGGCGCGAAAGCCAGGGGAGCAAACGGG
rnacentral:rRNA from 1 species